rnacentral:rRNA from 1 species
AUUGAACGCUGGCGGCAGGCCUAACACAUGCAAGUCGAACGAGUGGCGGACAAGUGGGUAAUGUCUUGGACCCUGCCCGGUGGAAAGGGAUAACUACUGGAAACAAUAGCUAAUACCGCAUACCAUGGGAUUUGCCCCGAUGUGAUUAGCUAGUAGGGGGGGUAACGGCUCACCUAGGCGACGAUCCCUAGCUGGUCUGAGAGGAUGACCAGCCACACGGGAACUGGGACACGGUCCAGAGUCCUACGGGAGGGAGCAGAGGGGAAUAUUGGACAAUGGGGGCAAGCCUGAUGCAGCCAGGGAGCGUGUAUGAAGAAGGCCUUGGGGUUGUAAAGUACUUUCAGCGAGGGGGCGGUAGUCGCAGAAGAAGCACCGGCUAACUCCGUGCCAGCAGCCGCGGUAAUAC